rnacentral:rRNA from 1 species
AACGAACGCUGGCGGCAGGCCUAACACAUGCAAGUCAAACGGGGUAGCAAUACCUAGUGGCGCACGGGUGAGUAACACGUGGGAAUCUCCCUUUCAGUACGGAAUAACAGCGGGAAACUGCUGCUAAUACCGUAUGGUCCCUUCGGGGUAAAGAUUUAUCGCUGAAAGAUGAGCCCGCGUCAGAUUAGCUAGUUGGUGGGGUAACGGCCUACCAAGGCUACGAUCUGUAGCUGGUCUUAGAGGACGAUCAGCCACACUGGAACUGAGACACGGUCCAGACUCCUACGGGAGGCAGCAGUGGGGAAUAUUGGACAAUGGGGGAAACCCUGAUGCAGCGACGCCGCGUGGACGAUGAAGGCCUUCGGGUUGUAAAGUCCUUUUGCUCGGGAACAAUUUUUGAGCGUACCGAGAGAAUAAGAGGUUGCUAACUCUGUGCCAGCCGCCGCAGUAA